UACGAAGGGGGCUAGCGUUGCUCGGAAUUACUGGGCGUAAAGGGCGCGUAGGCGGUCAGCACAAGUCAGUUGUGAAAUCUUCGAGCUCAACUCGGAAACUGCAUCGGAAACUAUUCGGCUAGAGGAUUGGAGGGGAGACUGGAAUUCUCGGUGUAGCAGUGAAAUGCGUAGAUAUCGAGAGGAACACCAGUGGCGAAGGCGAGUCUCUGGACAAUUCCUGACGCUGAGGCACGAAAGCUAGGGGAGCAAACAGG
rnacentral:rRNA from 1 species